GUGCUGAUGGUGCAGGGGCGAAAGCAUAUGCAGAGGCUAUAGUCCUCGAAGCGGCUAUCCCGGGUUCAAGUCCCGGACCUGGCGACA